AUUGAACGCUGGCGGCAGGCCUAACACAUGCAAGUCGAACGAGUGGCGGACGGGUGAGUAAUGUCUGGGAAACUGCCUGAUGGAGGGGGAUAACUACUGGAAACGGUAGCUAAUACCGCAUACCCUCAGAUGUGCACAGAUGGGAUUAGCUAGUGGGUGGGGUAACGGCUCACCAAGGCGACGAUCCCUAGCUGGUCUGCGAGGAUGACCAGCCAAACUGGAACUGAGAAACGGUCCAGACUCCGACGGGAGGAAGCAGUGGUGAAGAUGGCACAAUGGGCGAAAGCCGGAUGCAGCCAUGCCGCGUGUAUGAAGAAGGCCGUCGGGUUGUAAAGUACUUUCAGCGGGGAGGCGUUACCCGCAGAAGAAGCACCGGCUAACUCCGUGCCAGCAGCCGCGGUAAUAC
rnacentral:rRNA from 1 species